AGUGCCUACGGGGCGCAGCAGUGAGGAAUAUUGGUCAAUGGGCGGGAGCCUGAACCAGCCAAGUCGCGUGAGGGAUGACGGCCCUAUGGGUUGUAAACCUCUUUUGCCGGGGAGCAAAGUGCCGCACGUGUGCGGUUUGGAGAGUACCCGGAGAAAAAGCAUCGGCUAACUCCGUGCCAGCAGCCGCGGUAAUACGUAGGGGGCAAGCGUUAUUCGGAUUUACUGGGUGUAAAGGGAGCGUAGACGGCAGGGCAAGUCUGGAGUGAAAGCCCGGGGCCCAACCCCGGGACUGCUU
rnacentral:rRNA from 1 species